rfam:Ciona savignyi cont_5602, whole genome shotgun sequence.
GCCUUUAUAGCUCAGUGGUAGAGCACUGGUCUCGUAAACCAGGGGUCGUGAGUUCAAACCUUACUGGAGGCA